GUUUUAUAAAAUGACACCCUGAAACUUUUGCUUUUGUAAUUAUUCACUGGAAAAGAUAUCUGAUUUCUAAUUCAGAUUGAUUUCAGACGUGGGAAUUUCCAGUGAAAGUGUGGAUUUGUCAUUUUUCCUCUUUUCUCCACUUCCUAUCGAGACUCUCUCUGGUAUUGUCUGCUCUUCUCGUCUUUGAAGCGUAACGUUUUGACCUUGAUUUUACAGUGAUCUCACUAAAUAAAGCGUCUCUUUCUCACACAUGCAGACACCUUUAUGGUUCUGCUGUUUACUGCGCGUCUGGAUUAUUUAAAUCGCCGCUGAAGUACACCUGAGGCCUGCGUUUAUAUGUCUGUUUAUUUACUGAGACUGUCAGCUUAUGAAAAUGCAUUUUAAAAUGUCAGUUAUUAAUAGAAUAAUUUAUACAUGAUGCAUUUUUACCAAGUGCAAUUUUGUUUAACAUUUCCAUGUAUGCAUUUAACAAAUGCUCUUAUCCAAAGUGACUGUGCUGGCAAACCAAAUGCUGAGGAAAAAACUUGACAAAUGCAAAGAGGGAAGACAUCUGAAGACGCUUCAGCAGAGACACAAUCAACAACACACUGCACGGGUCAGUUUGGAGAGGUACUGGAGGAAAUUAUGACUUUAUAUAUGCAGAAUGAUGAUUAUAAAUACUGCAUUUUGUUUCUGUGAUUCUUUGCAUCGUCUGCACAUUUGAGCCCUUUCCAGCAGGGAUUGUAUGAUGUUGAGCCCAUAAUCAGACUGAAGACACUCAAACACAACUAUUACAACACUGAAAAAAUCUCAGUUGCUAAAUGUAAUGAAAUUGGCUCUACAUUUCAUGGCUCUAAAACCUAAAAAUGUUGAAAAUGGUUAAAUUAAUUUGGUGUGUAAUGAAAAAACAUGUUGCCAUAUUAUUCUUUUACACAGUGAAACAAUUGUGCAAAUUGUAAUCAAGUUUCUUUUGUGUGGAAAAUAUUUAAAUAAAUAAAUAAGAUG
ensembl:lncRNA